rnacentral:rRNA from 1 species
AGAGUUUGAUCAUGGCUCAGGACGAACGCUGGCGGCGUGCCUAAUACAUGCAAGUCGAGCGGAUCUCAGGGAGCUUGCUCCCUGAGAUCAGCGGCGGACGGGUGAGUAACACGUGGGUAACCUACCUGUAAGACUGGGAUAACUCCGGGAAACCGGGGCUAAUACCGGAUAACACCUACCCCCGCAUGGGGGAAGGUUGAAAGGUGGCUUCGGCUAUCACUUACAGAUGGACCCGCGGCGCAUUAGCUAGUUGGUGAGGUAAUGGCUCACCAAGGCGACGAUGCGUAGCCGACCUGAGAGGGUGAUCGGCCACACUGGGACUGAGACACGGCCCAGACUCCUACGGGAGGCAGCAGUAGGGAAUCUUCCGCAAUGGACGAAAGUCUGACGGAGCAACGCCGCGUGAGUGAAGAAGGUUUUCGGAUCGUAAAACUCUGUUGUUAGGGAAGAACAAGUGCCGUUCGAAUAGGGCGGCGCCUUGACGGUACCUAACCAGAAAGCCACGGCUAACUACGUGCCAGCCGCCGCGGUAAUAC